UGGCGUGUGACCGGAGUGGUAACGGCGUCGACUGUUAAUCGACUAUUCGCAGGUUCGAUCCCUGCCGCGCCAG
rnacentral:tRNA from 1 species